CAGCAUCUUGGGAUGGUCAUGCAAUGGGAAGAUCGGUUCUACAAAGCUAACAGAGCUCACACUUAUCUCGGGGACCCGGCAAGGGAGAACGAGAUCUUCCCUAACAUGCUGCAGUUUGCAGGAGCUUGCGGGAUUCCAGCUGCGAGAGUGACGAAGAAAGAAGAACUCCGAGAAGCUAUUCAGACAAUGCUGGAUACACCAGGACCAUACCUGUUGGAUGUGAUAUGUCCGCACCAAGAACAUGUGUUACCGAUGAUCCCAAGUGGUGGCACUUUCAAAGAUGUAAUAACAGAAGGGGAUGGUCGCACUAAGUACUGAGAGAUGAAGCUGGUGAUCGAUCAUAUGGUAAAAGACUUAGUUUCAGUUUCCAGUUUCUUUUGUGUGGUAAUUUGGGUUUGUCAGUUGUUGUACUACUUUUGGUUGUUCCCAGACGUACUCGCUGUUGUUGUUUUGUUUCCUUUUUCUUUUAUAUAUAAAUAAACUGCUUGGGUUUUUUUUCAUAUGUUUGGGACUCAAUGCAAGGAAUGCUACUAGACUGCGAUUAUCUACUAAUCUUGCUAGGAAAUGGCACUUUACAUUGGGUGUGAUUGUCAUAUUUUCAGUUUUUUAGCUACGAGAACGAUGAAAGUUCAGAUUUCACACACUAUAUAUAUGUUUGAUCGAUGUUGUAUGCUCUUAAACAUUUCUAUCUUUCCUUUUCUCAUAUUAUCCAUCACACUCUUUAAUAUGAUGUAAAUUGCUUCUUCUCUAAGCUACACCAGUCGUAAGCAACAUACGAAGAAGCUUUUUGAAAACAUCUUUUAUUCUCUCAUCACACUUUGUGUAUGUGUCAAUAACAUGUCAACUUCAUCUGUGUUGAAAUAAACAUUCGGUUCAUUGUAACAACAAUAAUUUCUGUCUUUUUUUUUUAUCAACACAAUAAUUUUCUGUCUUACACCUAAGUAACACAUGUUCUUUCGUUCUCCCCAUUUUUAUUUAAGUGCGACACUUCAAACCCAUUAACAGAUCAAACAACCAAAUCACAUACAGCAGCUUCACAUCAGAUCAACUUUAACACACCCCUAUGUCAUCGCAUUUCAUUCUCUCCCUGCUUAAAUGGUCACACUCUUAUACAAACCAUAAGCCUAGUGAUAUUUAUUAUUCCAGCGUCUUAUAGCCGCUGUCAAAUAUCAACCUACCAUACUAUUACAUCAUCAGAGAUAUUCCCGGUUUCUCUCUAAGCUUGACAAGAACACGUGAGACACAAUUCCGAACUCGGCUUUAGCAUUCUCUUAAAAGAUGGUAUGAUCAGGACCCUUGCCUCAUACCAACAUCUUGUGAUCACAGCUUCUUAAUAUCAAGACUUUUGUAGACGAUCAUCAUCCGAUUAUCACAAUGCCUUAUUUCCAAACUUGCGAUCAUAAUCAUAUUGACCCUUUACUGUCACAACGUCCUUUUGUAUCGAAAUUUAUUCCGAGCAAAACACUUACUUGUCCAAGAAAAAUAAGCUCCACAAUAAAAUUCUUUUGAGUCUUCCGACUCAUAUAACAUGAUCUAGCGAAAAUUUUAGAUUACAACCAGUCUUUAACUCCUUAAUCCGAAACUCAGCCUGUCGAAGACCAAAUCCAAAACCAAACGCCUCCAAGCUUUGAGCACUUUAUGAGUCUAUUAUGAUUGUCAUGUGAUUGAUCCCAUACCACAACAACCCAUGUCUUCUUAAUUUGAAACAAAAACUUACUAUGCCCCUCCAUGAGGACUUCUCCUCACAUCAGCUUCUUGAGAGUUUAUAUGGAUAUUCAAUCUUGUUCUGAACACUCAUGAUAGUUGCGAACCUCCCUUUCUGACAGCUGCAUCCAGUGAAUGGUGAACCUUAUGCACCACCAACCAUGAUGCAUCACAAAGCCUGAAUAAUUGCAUCACACACUGCCAUCACAUCUAUCUUAAUAUCUCUGUCGAUUAUGUCUGUUUCAAUAUGAGAACAAUAUUAAAAACAAACUCUCACACUAGAUGUUGGAAGUGAUCAUAAAUAAUAUAUAAUAAUAUAAAUAUACAUACCAACCCAGUCAUCACAAAUUGGUUUUAGUUAAAAACUUAUCGAACUUAAUAUGGUAUCAUAUCCCUAUCUACGCAAUCCAAUCCGAUCCGCAAUCCAACCCGAUCCGCAAUCCAAAGUUGGUCCAUCUAUAUUUUUCCGAAAGUUAAAAGAGCCAUCAAAUCUCGAGUGUGCUUACUAGAGACAAAGUCUCCCAAAUUGAAAGUUGAAAGUAAACAUAAAUAAUAUAUAAGAUAUAUGGGGUCAAUCCACUUAUCAAUUGGUUUCAGGUUCUAAGCUCAUCUAAUAUCAUAAACAACACAUGAGAGUCAGUCUACUCCUCCUUUACAUCCAACGACAUAGUCAAAACUUCUAAAAAAUCCCUAUUUUAUGUUAAAUAAUUAGUUUGAAUAAUGUAUAUUACUAUUAUUUGAAUUAAUUUUUUUGCAUUCGAAAAGUAAUUUUAAUUGUCAUGUUCUCCAUGAUUUUAUGUAAUUUUCGUAUUAAAUUUUUCACUUUAAAAGUUAAAUUGGUUAAAGUCAUUGGUACCCUUAAUGAAUAAAUUGGUUAAAGUCAUUGGUACCCUUAAUGAAUAAUUAUAUGGAUAUAUUAUAGUUAUAUAUUUAGUUAUAAAUAUUUAUAAUAAUAAAUUAAUCAAAAUAAGUAAAUAUCAUGAUAUCCUACGAAACAUACAUCAAUAAGUUUAUUCAAAAAUCAAAAGAUCAACAACUCUGAAUUCUCGUGAUAAUGCCAAACUUUUUUCCAUGAUCCUACCAUGUAUCCACCAAGGAAUUCCUCAAGCAAUAUACGACUGAUUACCAUUAAUUAAUCGAAAAUAAAUUCACAUGCCAUUCAUCAGAAAUGUAUCCAUGGAACUUCAUACUUCUCGGUCACAUCACUAAUUCAACUCUUUUAUUACUUCACUUACAAGUUCUCUUCCUCAUCUCCUUCAGAUAAUAUACUCCUAGGCUCCUAGCCACCAAUCCAUAAUCUACCCGAAACAAGAUCAGAUUUACAAGAUCUCUAGCAUGAAUCCUCUUUGGUACCAUUUGAAAUUUUGGAUUUUCAGGAUAUAUUUAUAUGUUUCAUCAAUGUGAUAUGUAAAUGCGUAAACUAAAGAAGACACAUAGUUUUUUCAUGAGGUUUUGUUCUCUCUACAUCCCCUAGACCUAGUCUAAAAAUAAAUAUACCAGACAAAUAAAACAAAUACAGUUUCAAAUGGGAUCAAAGUGUUAAGAAACGUUUUAGGGAGCUGUUUAUGCCACCUAUGCGCUAUGCCCUAUAAAACUGUGAAGAUUACUUUUACCAAAAAAAAAAAAAAAACUGAGAGUCUGUAUGGGGUAUUUUCGUAAACAAACAAAACCCUCACAAGCCUCGUUUUAUAAAAACGAUUCACGUUCACAAACUCAUUCAUCAUCUCUCUCUCCUCUAACCAUGGCGGCGGCAACAUCGUCUUCUCCGAUCUCCUUAACCGCUAAACCUUCUUCCAAAUCCCCUCUACCCAUUUCCAGAUUCUCCCUUCCCUUCUCCUUAACCCCACAGAAAGACUCCUCCCGUCUCCACCGUCCUCUCGCCAUCUCCGCCGUUCUCAACUCACCCGUCAAUGUCGCACCUCCUUCCCCUGAAAAAACCGACAAGAACAAGACUUUCGUCUCCCGCUACGCUCCCGACGAGCCCCGCAAGGGUGCUGAUAUCCUCGUCGAAGCCCUCGAGCGUCAAGGCGUCGAAACCGUCUUUGCUUAUCCCGGAGGUGCUUCCAUGGAGAUCCACCAAGCCUUGACUCGCUCCUCCACCAUCCGUAACGUCCUUCCCCGUCACGAACAAGGAGGAGUCUUCGCCGCCGAGGGUUACGCUCGUUCCUCCGGCAAACCGGGAAUCUGCAUAGCCACUUCGGGUCCCGGAGCUACCAACCUCGUCAGCGGGUUAGCAGACGCGAUGCUUGACAGUGUUCCUCUUGUCGCCAUUACAGGACAGGUCCCUCGCCGGAUGAUCGGUACUGACGCCUUCCAAGAGACACCAAUCGUUGAGGUAACGAGGUCUAUUACGAAACAUAACUAUUUGGUGAUGGAUGUUGAUGACAUACCUAGGAUCGUUCAAGAAGCUUUCUUUCUAGCUACUUCCGGUAGACCCGGACCGGUUUUGGUUGAUGUUCCUAAGGAUAUUCAGCAGCAGCUUGCGAUUCCUAACUGGGAUCAACCUAUGCGCUUACCUGGCUACAUGUCUAGGUUGCCUCAGCCUCCGGAAGUUUCUCAGUUAGGUCAGAUCGUUAGGUUGAUCUCGGAGUCUAAGAGGCCUGUUUUGUACGUUGGUGGUGGAAGCUUGAACUCGAGUGAAGAACUGGGGAGAUUUGUCGAGCUUACUGGGAUCCCCGUUGCGAGUACUUUGAUGGGGCUUGGCUCUUAUCCUUGUAACGAUGAGUUGUCCCUGCAGAUGCUUGGCAUGCACGGGACUGUGUAUGCUAACUACGCUGUGGAGCAUAGUGAUUUGUUGCUGGCGUUUGGUGUUAGGUUUGAUGACCGUGUCACGGGAAAGCUCGAGGCUUUCGCUAGCAGGGCUAAAAUUGUGCACAUAGACAUUGAUUCUGCUGAGAUUGGGAAGAAUAAGACACCUCACGUGUCUGUGUGUGGUGAUGUAAAGCUGGCUUUGCAAGGGAUGAACAAGGUUCUUGAGAACCGGGCGGAGGAGCUCAAGCUUGAUUUCGGUGUUUGGAGGAGUGAGUUGAGCGAGCAGAAACAGAAGUUCCCUUUGAGCUUCAAAACGUUUGGAGAAGCCAUUCCUCCGCAGUACGCGAUUCAGAUCCUCGACGAGCUAACCGAAGGGAAGGCAAUUAUCAGUACUGGUGUUGGACAGCAUCAGAUGUGGGCGGCGCAGUUUUACAAGUACAGGAAGCCGAGACAGUGGCUGUCGUCAUCAGGCCUCGGAGCUAUGGGUUUUGGACUUCCUGCUGCGAUUGGAGCGUCUGUGGCGAACCCUGAUGCGAUUGUUGUGGAUAUUGACGGUGAUGGAAGCUUCAUAAUGAACGUUCAAGAGCUGGCCACAAUCCGUGUAGAGAAUCUUCCUGUGAAGAUACUCUUGUUAAACAACCAGCAUCUUGGGAUGGUCAUGCAAUGGGAAGAUCGGUUCUACAAAGCUAACAGAGCUCACACUUAUCUCGGGGACCCGGCAAGGGAGAACGAGAUCUUCCCUAACAUGCUGCAGUUUGCAGGAGCUUGCGGGAUUCCAGCUGCGAGAGUGACGAAGAAAGAAGAACUCCGAGAAGCUAUUCAGACAAUGCUGGAUACACCAGGACCAUACCUGUUGGAUGUGAUAUGUCCGCACCAAGAACAUGUGUUACCGAUGAUCCCAAGUGGUGGCACUUUCAAAGAUGUAAUAACAGAAGGGGAUGGUCGCACUAAGUACUGAGAGAUGAAGCUGGUGAUCGAUCAUAUGGUAAAAGACUUAG
rnacentral:lncRNA from 1 species